rnacentral:rRNA from 1 species
AUACGUAGGUGACAAGCGUUAUCCGGAUUUACUGGGCGUAAAGGGCGUGUAGGCGGUCUUGCAAGUCAGAAGUGGAAUUCCUGAGCUCAACUCGGGCGCUGCUUCUGAAACUGCAGGACUUGAGUGCUGGAGGGGAUAGCGGAAUUCCUAGUGGAGCGGUAAAAUGCGCAGAUAUUAGGAAGAACACCGGUGGCGAAGGCGGCUAUCUGGACGGUAACUGACGCUGAGGCGCGAAAGCGUGGGGAGCAAACAGGAUUAGAUACCCGGGUAGUCCACGCCGUAAACGAUGAAUACUAGGUGUAGGGGGUAUCGACUCCCUCUGUGCCGCAGUUAACACAAUAAGUAUUCCGCCUGGGGAGUACGGCCGCAAGGUUGAAACUCAAAGGAAUUGACGGGG